AUAGUGUGGUUUGUUUUAUCAACAUUUCUCUACCAGAUAGCGAUUUAUCCGAUGGAUAGCAUCGUUCAAAUUAGGAAGAUGAAAUGUUUCUAUAUUUCAUAAACAAUGUCCGUUUUUGUUGUUGGGUCACGGUUUCAAUUCCUUUUGUUUUCGGGGGACACUAUUGUAAAGUUAAUCAAAAGAGCUUUCAAUGCUCAGUUGACCCUCAGAGAGGUAUGUGCGCGUAACUUUUGUGAUGAGUCUUUUCAAAAGUUUCUCAGUAGGAUUUAACUUCCUUUUUUUUCCCUCUUUUUGACAGUAGCCAGCUAGUCCUGAGUUCAUUGCUCCGUGUCAGUUUGCGGAAUAAAGGCUGCAAAUAGUGGUUAGCAAGGACGUCAUCUCCCCGGGGUUCCAAAGGUCCUGGAGAGGAGGCCUAUUCAUGCAGAUUCUCGUGAUUUCAGCGGAAUGCAAAAGAAUACAAUUGUGCCUGGAGGAACUUGCAUCCUGCCGUCUUCAGUGACCCGUGCUAGCAUUAUUUUCUUGUCCUUUUGUACACAUCACUAAUAAGAACAUUCCAGCGGUAACAAAUAAAUCUACUAAUAGCUGUAAAUAGAAAAUUCCACAAUGCUGAAAAGUUCAAGGACCAUUGUUUGUGACAAAUACUUAUCACGGCAAUACGGGCCCAUUCAGGGCACUUCAGCAAGGACCUCCGAUAGUAACCGGCAGUUUGGCUAAGCCUCCGAAGCAGAAGUGAGUCUCAACACUGGU
rnacentral:lncRNA from 1 species